rnacentral:rRNA from 1 species
GGGGGAUAACGCACCGAAAAGGUGUGCUAAUACCGCAUACGCCCUGAGGGGGAAAGCGGGGGGAUUCGUAAGAACCUCGCGUUAAUGGAGCGGCCGAUGUCGGAUUAGCUAGUUGGUGAGGUAAAGGCUCACCAAGGCGACGAUCCGUAGCUGGUCUGAGAGGACGACCAGCCACACUGGAACUGAGACACGGUCCAGACUCCUACGGGAGGCAGCAGUGGGGAAUUUUGGACAAUGGGCGAAAGCCUGAUCCAGCCAUGCCGCGUGAGUGAAGAAGGCCUUCGGGUUGUAAAGCUCUUUCGCAAGGAAAGAAAACUUAGUUACUAAUACUAGCUGAGGAUGACGGUACCUUGAUAAGAAGCACCGGCUAACUACGUGCCAGCAGCCGCGGUAAUACGUAGGGUGCGAGCGUUAAUCGGAAUUACUGGGCGUAAAGCGUGCGCGGGCGGUUUUGUAAGUCAGAUGUGAAAUCCCCGGGCUCAACCUGGGAACUGCGUUUGAAACUACAAGGCUAGAGUGUAGAAGAGGGGGGUAGAAUUCCACGUGUAGCAGUGAAAUGCGUAGAGAUGUGGAGGAAUACCGAUGGCGAAGGCAGCCCCCUGGGCUAACACUGACGCUCAUGCACGAAAGCGUGGGGAGCAAACAGGAUUAGAUACCCUGGUAGUCCACGCCCUAAACGAUGUCUACUAGUUGUUGGAGGAGUAAAAUCCUUUAGUAACGCAGCUAACGCGUGAAGUAGACCGCC